rnacentral:lncRNA from 1 species
CCGAAACCACUGUUCUGACUAGGCCCAAAAUCGGGAUGUUACAGAAUGUGUAUUGAUCCUCUCAGUGCCUAGGUGCAUAAACCAAUAUCUAAUUUUGUUUCUAAGUCAAAGCUUGCAUUUAAAAAGGAUGACGUCAUGGGCAAUCCCUAACACGAUGUUCCACAGGCCCGUAUCUCAAGCAUGUUCUUGACUUUUCAAAUAGUCACCUGAAUGGCGCUUAUUAUAGUACUUAUAAACCAGAAUUUCUCGUUGAUCCAAUAGAACCUCUUGUAUUAGCUUUUACAAAAAUCUGUUGUGGUUUGUCCACUCUGGC